rnacentral:rRNA from 1 species
UACGAAGGGGGCUAGCGUUGCUCGGAAUCACUGGGCGUAAAGCGCACGUAGGCGGCUUGUUAAGUCAGGGGUGAAAUCCUGGAGCUUAACUCCAGAACUGCCUUUGAUACUGGCGAGCUUGAGUCCGGGAGAGGUGAGUGGAACUGCGAGUGUAGAGGUGAAAUUCGUAGAUAUUCGCAAGAACACCAGUGGCGAAGGCGGCUCACUGGCCCGGUACUGACGCUGAGGUGCGAAAGCGUGGGGAGCAAACAGG